UACAGAGGUCCCAAGCGUUGUUCGGGUUCACUGGGCGUAAAGGGUGCGUAGGUGGCUUGGUAAGUUUGAUGUGAAAUCUCCGGGCUUAACCCGGAAAUGGCAUUGAAUACUAUUGAGCUGGAGGUUUGGAGGGGGGACUGGAAUUCUCGGUGUAGCAGUGAAAUGCGUAGAUAUCGAGAGGAACACCAGUGGCGAAGGCGAGUCCCUGGACAACACCUGACACUGAGGCACGAAAGCUAGGGGAGCAAACAGG
rnacentral:rRNA from 1 species